rnacentral:rRNA from 1 species
CCCUUAGAUGUCCUGGGCCGCACGCGUGCUACACUGAUGCAUACAGCGAGUACUUUCCAGCUCCGCGAGGCAGCUGGUAAUCAGCAAUAUGCAUCGUGCUGGGGAUAGAUCUUUGGAAUUAUAGAUCUUCAACGAGGAAUUCCUAGUAAGCGCGAGUCAUCAGCUCGUGCUGAUUACGUCCCUACCCUUUGUACACACCGCCCGUCGCUCCUACCGAUUGAAUGCUCAGGUGAGCCAUUCGGACCUUCAUCAUGCCGGUUUCCGGUUUUGAUGAGGGAAAGUCUUGCGAACCUUAUCAUUUAGAGGAAGGAGAAGUCGUAACA